rnacentral:rRNA from 1 species
CCUACGGGAGGCAGCAGUAGGGAAUCUUCCACAAUGGACGAAAGUCUGAUGGAGCAACGCCGCGUGAGCGAUGAAGGCCUUCGGGUCGUAAAGCUCUGUUGUUAGGGAAGAACAAGUACCGGAGUAACUGCCGGUACCUUGACGGUACCUAACCAGAAAGCCACGGCUAACUACGUGCCAGCAGCCGCGGUAAUACGUAGGUGGCAAGCGUUGUCCGGAAUUAUUGGGCGUAAAGCGCGCGCAGGCGGUCCUUUAAGUCUGAUGUGAAAGCCCACGGCUCAACCGUGGAGGGUCAUUGGAAACUGGGGGACUUGAGUGCAGAAGAGGAAAGCGGAAUUCCACGUGUAGCGGUGAAAUGCGUAGAGAUGUGGAGGAACACCAGUGGCGAAGGCGGCUUUCUGGUCUGUAACUGACGCUGAGGCGCGAAAGCGUGGGGAGCAAACAGGAUUAGAUACCCUGGUAGUCCACGCCGUAAACGAUGAGUGCUAAGUGUUAGGGGGUUUCCGCCCUUUAGUGCUGAAGUUAACGCAUUAAGCACUCCGCCUGGGGAGUACGGUCGCAAGACUGAAACUCAAAGGAAUUGACGG